rnacentral:rRNA from 1 species
UACGUAGGUGGCAAGCGUUGUCCGGAUUUACUGGGCGUAAAGAGCGCGCAGGCGGUCGGAUCAGUCGAAUGUGAAAGCCCCCGGCUCAACUGGGGAGGGUCAUUCGAUACUGUCCGACUCGAAGGCAGGAGAGGGAAGCGGAAUUCCCGGUGUAGUGGUGAAAUGCGUAGAUAUCGGGAGGAACACCAGUGGCGAAGGCGGACUUUCUGGACCAAUACGUGACGCUGAGA